rnacentral:rRNA from 1 species
GACGAACGCUGGCGGCGUGCUUAACACAUGCAAGUCGAACGAAGUGGCGAACGGGUGAGUAAUACGUGGGUAACCUGCCCUCCUUUUUGGGAUAAGCCUUGGAAACGGGGUCUAAUACCGUAUAAAGGGGGAUGGGCUCGCGGCCUGUCUGCUUGUUGGUGGGGUUAUGGGCUACCAAGGCGGUGACGGGUAGCCGGCCUGAGAGGUUGACCUGCCACAUUGGGACGGAGCGACGGCCCAGACGCCGACGGGGGGGAGCAUGGGGGGAUAUUGCACAAUGGGCGAAAGCGUGAUGCAGCGACGCCGCGUGGGGGAUUAAGGCUUUCGGGUUGUAAACCUCUUGCGCAAUCGUACGGGUAGGUGGAGAAGAAGCGCCGGCUAACUACGUGCCAGCAGCCGCGGUAAUAC